rnacentral:miRNA from 1 species
AGAGAAGUCGGUCUAAAUGCUC